AUUGAACGCUGGCGGCAGGCCUAACACAUGCAAGUCGAACGAGUGGCGGACGGGUGAGUAAUGUCUGGGACACUGCCUGAUGGAGGGGGAUAACUACUGGAAACGGUAGCUAAUACCGCAUACCAUCAGAUGUGCCCAGAUGGGAUUAGCUUGUUGGUGGGGUAACGGCUCACCAAGGCGACGAUCACUAGCUGGUCUGAGAGGAUGACCAGCCAAACUGGAACUGAGACACUGGCAAAACUCCCACGGGAGGAAGCAGGGGGGAAUAUUGCGCAAUGGGCGCAAGCCUGAUGUCGCCAUGCCGCGUGUAUGAAGAAGGCCUUAUGGUUGUAAAGUACUUUCAGCGGGGAGGCGUUACCCGCAGAAGAAGCACCGGCUAACUCCGUGCCAGCAGCCGCGGUAAUAC
rnacentral:rRNA from 1 species